rnacentral:rRNA from 1 species
GACAGAGGGUGCAAGCGUUAAUCGGAAUUACUGGGCGUAAAGCGUGCGUAGACGGUUAUGUAAGUCGGGUGUGAAAGCCCCGGGCUCAACCUGGGAAUUGCAUUCGAGACUGCAUAGCUAGGGUGCGGAAGAGGGAAGCGGAAUUUCCGGUGUAGCGGUGAAAUGCGUAGAUAUCGGAAGGAACACCAGUGGCGAAAGCGGCUUCCUGGUCCAGCACCGACGUCAGGCACGAAAGCGUGGGGAGCAAACAGG